GUUCCACGCAAUAGAAUUGUCCAAACUCCAAAGCCUUCACGUCUGAAACCCUAGCUACAAAUUUCGUAAUCCUUGUCAAUUCCCAUUCACUCACCAUCUUCUCCAUUCUCAUCUCAUAGCCAUGGACGCUCAGAGAGCUUUGCUUGACGAACUCAUGGGAUCAGCUCGUAACUUGACGGAGGAAGAGAGGAAGGGUUUCAAGGAAGUCUCCUGGGACGACAAGGAAGUGUGUGGAUUCUACAUGGUUCGGUUUUGCCCUCAUGAUCUCUUCGUCAACACCCGAAGUGAUUUGGGACCUUGCCCGAGAAUACAUGACCAGAAAUUGAAAGAAAGUUUUGAAAAAUCCCCAAGACAUGAUGCAUUUGUACCCAAAUUUGAGGCUGAACUUGCUCAGUUUUGUGAGAAAUUGGUGAUGGACUUGGAUAGAAAAGUAAGACGUGGGCGAGAACGUCUUUCUCAAGAGGUGGAGCCACCACCACCACCACCUCUGACAGCUGAAAAAUCUGAACAGCUAUCUGUGCUGGAGGAGAAAAUAAAGAACCUUCUGGAACAAGUUGAAUCUCUUGGUGAAGCUGGGAAAGUUGAUGAAGCUGAAGCUCUAAUGAGAAAGGUGGAUACACUUAAUACUGAGAAGACAGCCUUGACACAACCUCAAAAUGAGAAGUUAAUGCAAGCGCAGGAGAAGAAAAUGGCACUUUGUGAGAUCUGUGGUUCCUUUCUUGUGGCAAAUGAUGCUGCAGAGAGGACUCAGUCUCAUGUCACAGGAAAGCAGCAUGUUGGUUAUGGCAUGGUUCGCGACUUCAUAAGUGAGUUUCAGACUGCUAAGGAGAAAGCUAUUGAAGAAGAGAGAUUAGCUCGGGAAAGAGAGGCAGAAGAGCGAAGAAAACGGAAGGAGCAGGAGUAUGAGAGAAAGAGACGAGGUGAUUCAAGUGAUAGGGAGAAGCAUCGUGAUAAGGAUCGAGAUAGGGAGCGGGAUAGGUAUAGAGAUAGAGACUCAGACCGUGAAAGGUCUCGGGAGCGUGAUGUUAGAGGUUAUCGAGAUGGUGGAAGGGGGGUGGACUCUAGAUUGGGAAAUAGAAGAAAUGGAGGCAGGGACAGGUACCGUGAUCGGAGCAGGUCUCGCUCCCCAGUUAAGAACAGCUACAGAAGGUCUUGAAAUCCAGUCUGCUCAUAUAGUGGAAUUUCAUGAUAGAUAUCAGAAUUUGAAUUUAAAAGAGAGCUUUGUUGAGACUGUACAAUCUCCCCUUGGUCAAUAUUAUUUAUGGAGAAAUGGGUUGAGUCUUUCUUUACUUGCAUUUUCUGGGAAAUCAUUUGAUUGAUUAAAGAUGUCAGACACAAAAUUACAUGAAUGAUUAUCAUGGCCGCUGAGGGGAUGGUUUUCUCUUAUUUUGAGGUAACAUGUGAAUCUCAUACCCUGAGACGAAUAGACUGAUAUUUAUUCAUCAUAGAAAUGCUUGCUUUGUUUGCC